CCUUUGUACACACCGCCCGUCGCUACUACCGAUUGAAUGGCUUAGUGAGGCUUCAAGAUCGGCUUAAGGAAGGAGGCGACUCCAUCCUGGAGCUGAGAAUCUAUCCAAACUUGGUCAUUUAGAGG
rnacentral:rRNA from 1 species